UUGACUAAACUGAGCAAAUACAACCAUUUUUAAAACACUAGGGUAAGCUAGAUCAAUAUUCUUCUUAUUACUAGAGUAAUAUCCUUCUACUUUUAUAUAUUUACCACAGCCAGACUGUCAUUAAAAAAAAGUCAAUGUUUUCCUCAGAUAUAAACAUUAAGAUAGAUAGAUAGAUAGAUAGAUAGAUAGAUAGAUAGAUAGAUAGAUAGAUAGAUAGAUAGAUAGAUAGAUAGUUUAGAACACGUUCAGAGAACAGUAUGUUCAUCUGAGCAUCAUCCUCUGUUGGGGGAGGAUUCAUCAACAGAUCAACAGGUUGAGUGUUUUCAGCGGACAGCAGCGGACAUUAGAACCAUUUAAUUUUUUUUUUUUUUACUGAACCAUUAAGGAAAAUGUUUCACACACUUGUUUUGUUCUGCUUGUUCUUUUUGUGCUGGUCGAGUCCGAUGGGUGUGUUUGGGGCUGAAACAAAUGGAAUACAAUCAGCGUCAUUGAAUGAGGGAGAUUGUGUCACUCUAAACACUGAUGUUACUGAAAUACGUGAAGAUGAAGACAUACUGUGGAAUUUUGGAGCCAACAACUCUAUGAUAGCUCAAAUAAAAAAAAAGAACCAAAUCUUUUCCACAUAUGAUGAUGGUCCUGAUGAGAAAUUCAGAGACAGACUGAAAUUGGACAAACAGACUGCAUCUCUGACCAUCAGAAACAUCACAACUGAACAUACUGGACUCUAUAAACUACAGAUUAGUGGAGCAAAACUGAUAUCGAAAACAUUCAAUGUUUCUGUCUAUGCUCAUCUGCCUGUUCCUGUCAUAAGCAGUAACUCUUCACAAUGUUCUUCAU